rnacentral:rRNA from 1 species
ACUCCUACGGGAGGCAGCAGUAAGGAAUAUUGCGCAAUGGGCGAAAGCCUGACGCAGCGACGCCGCGUGGGGGAUGAAGGUCUUCGGAUUGUAAACCCCUUUCGGCAGGGAAGACGGAGCGGGUAACCGCUCGGACGGUACCUGCAGAAGCAGCCACGGCUAACUUCGUGCCAGCAGCCGCGGUAAUACGAAGGUGGCAAGCGUUGUUCGGAUUUACUGGGCGUACAGGGAGCGUAGGCGGUUGGGUAAGCCCUCCGUGAAAUCUCCGGGCCUAACCCGGAAAGUGCGGGGGGGACUGCUUAGCUAGAGGAUGGGAGA